GCAAAAAAGGAGCUAGCAAGCGACGGGGCCCUUGAGGAUGAAGGUCGACCAAGGAGGUUAAGGAGCGGGAGACAGUUCAGUUACGGCCGAAAGGGUUCAAUGGUUCAUUUCCUGAAUUCUUUCCACAUGGCUGUCAAGGAUAAUCCCCGGCCAUUCAGGCAACAACAGCAACGUUUGAGGUUGAGCUGAGCAGGGAUUUGCGUUUAGAAAAGUUGUUGGCGGUGCUUUGAGGAUGUCAUGCAGAAAUGGCAUUUUCUUGCGCUAUUUUGACUGAAAAGGGCGUAGCUGAAGGCGAAGCAUCGCAGGAGUGGGAAUAAUAUGGUUUCGGCAAGGUGUCUUUCACCUUCCUUCUUGAGGACAGUUUAAUGCGCAUGCAGAAUAAGAUUUCAAGAGGAGUGCUAUGACGAUCUUCUUGUUCUUGAUUGGAGUUUCUCAAAAAGCUGUUCUUGUUUCAACCUGCUGCGCAAAAACUUACUUUGGCUCUUUAUUUUGCAUCGAAGAAUCUUCAACAUUAUUUCUUUUCUUUUGCCUCACGCUGCAGAUUCCUUCAGCCAACGGUCAAAGGAAUUCGUAUUCGGGAAGGCUGGCGUCCCUGCGUCUCUAUUG
rnacentral:sRNA from 1 species